AAUUGUGUUUCAAAUUUAGUAAAAUCUUUAGGUUUUCUCUGGUUUUGAAUUAUAAAAAUUCACAAUGUGUACAAUUUUGGGUUUAAGAAAGUGUGAAAAUAAACGUAAAACGAAAUGUAUUAGUAAAUACGUUACAACCUAUAAUAGCCAGUUCUACGAUAAAAAUGAGCGGUUAAAAUAUUACAACGACGCGUACUUUAGACGUCCUCCGGUGAAAGUUAUCAUACCUGAGGAGAUAAUUGAUCCUGAAGCUGAGCUUGAGCGCAGAGAGCAAGAACGUAGAAAACUUUUUAAAUUCUGUCCACCUGAAUGGACCGCUAAUAACAUUAUGGGCCUACUUCUUCCACGCCGCACAUUACCAUAUGAAGCAAAUAUCGAGGAUACCGAAGAAGACUUAAGGCAGCGAAAAUGCGAAAUUAAUGCUUGGGAAGAAUCACUGAUCGUUAAAGUCAUAGAAAAGCAAAAGUGUCCUUGCAGCACUAUAACCAGUCAUCAAAUUGAUUUCCCGCCCAAACCAAUUCCAAUUAAAGAAGAAGAGGACGAGACAGAAGUGGUUGAAGAGGGGACUGAUAUUAUAAUAGAAAUAGAAAGAGAAGAAGGAGAAGAAAAACCACGAGAAAAAGAAACACCAAAACAUGACGGCAGUAUGGCAAUAUUAAUACACCAACAAGACGACCGUGAGCAAGAAGAAAGGCAACUUAAACUUAAAAAACUUAGCCAGAAACGUCCACUUGACUUUACAUUUGAAGACAGCUCACGAUUCAGUCCUACUGGUAUGAGACAAAAGUGGGGCUUCGCACAAAGCGCAUGUAGAUAUAAACUUUCCGAGUACCGUGAAAGCAUAAGCAAAGUUGGUUGCAUUAUUAUGAAAAAUAACAUACAUGACCACCGGAAUUGCCCACCUUGGCGUUGUGAGCAUAAGCUGGAGGAUGAAUGUUUACAUUUUCCAGACGAGUCAUAAGGUUCGUUUCUAUAUCUUAAACAUAUGGUUGCAUUAUUAUGAAAAAUAACAUACAUGACCAUCAGAAUUGCCCAUCUUGGCGUUGUGAGCAUAAGCUGGAGAAUGAAUGUUUACAUUUUCCAGAAGAAUCAUAAGUUACCUCACAUGCUUCUUACUUAAAUUGGCCAACAACGUAUUUGGACAACUUUUCUCUUAGCGGCUCAUGAUAAUAUGAUGCUCCUCAUAUUAUCUGCGGACUUUUAUCGGAAAUUGGCUAUGUUGACCACACUAAUAUAAGAUUUCUAAAUUAAUAAGUGUGUAAAAUAUUUGAUGAACAAAAUUUUGUGUUUGAAAAAUAUGAAAUUGUCAAAAGCUAAGACUUUUUUGGCAUUUUACGCUGAUGACGUUUCAUAAAUUUCCAAAUUUAUAAGUUUAAACCAAAUAAAAGCAUUGCAUUCCAUGUUAUCGCCAAAAUAACAACAAAUAAAUAUUUUAUUUACUUUUUAA